rnacentral:tRNA from 1 species
GGAAAUGUGGCUUACUGGUAGAGUGCUUGCCUAGUAUGCAUGAAGCUCUGGGUUCAAUUCCUCAGUACCA